rnacentral:rRNA from 1 species
UCCGGUUGAUCCUGGCGGAGGCCACUGCUAUCGGAGUUCGAUUAAGCCAUGCGAGUCGAGAGGUGCAAGACCUCGGCAUACUGCUCAGUAACACGUGGACAACCUACCCUAUGGAGGGGGAUAACCCCGGGAAACUGGGGAUAAUACCCCAUAGACUAUGGAUGCUGGAAUGCUUUGUAGUUGAAAGGUCCGCCGCCAUAGGAUGGGUCUGCGGCCGAUUAGGUUGUUGUUGGGGUAACGGCCCAACAAGCCUGUAAUCGGUACGGGUUGUGGGAGCAAGAGCCCGGAGAUGGAUUCUGAGACACGAAUCCAGGCCCUACGGGGCGCAGCAGGCGCGAAAACUUUACAAUGCGGGAAACCGUGAUAAGGGAACUCCGAGUGCCCGUAAAAUCGGGCUGUCCAUCUGUUUAAAUAACAGGUGAAGAAAGGGCCGGGCAAGACCGGUGCCAGCCGCCGCGGUAAUACCGGCGGCUCGAGUGGUGGCCACUAUUACUGGGCUUAAAGCGUUCGUAGCUGGUCUGUUAAGUCUCUGGGGAAAUCUACUGGCUUAACCAAUAGGCGUUUCAGGGAUACUGGCAGACUAGGGACCGGGAGAGGUGAGGGGUACUCCAGGGGUAGGAGUGAAAUCCUGUAAUCCUUGGGGGACCACCUGUGGCGAAGGCGCCUCACCAGAACGGCUCCGACAGUGAGGGACGAAAGCUGGGGGAGCAAACCGGAUUAGAUACCCGGGUAGUCCCAGCCGUAAACGAUGCGCGUUAGGUGUAUCGGUGACCACGAGUCACCGAGGUGCCGAAGAGAAAUCGUGAAACGUGCCGCCUGGGAAGUACGGUCGCAAGGCUGAAACUUAAAGGAAUUGGCGGGGGAGCACCACAACAGGUGGAGCCUGCGGUUUAAUCGGACUCAACGCCGGAAAUCUCACCGGAUAAGACAGCUGUAUGAUAGUCGGGCUGAAGACUCUACUUGACUAGCUGAGAGGAGGUGCAUGGCCGUCGUCAGUUCGUACUGUGAAGCAUCCUGUUAAGUCAGGCAACGAGCGAGACCCA